AACAUCGCGCACCUGCGGGAACCUGCGGAAGGAUCAUUACCGAGUGUGAACCCCCCCGUAAAAAAGAGGGGUUACCUCCCGUCCUUUGCUGGGAACCCCUUUCCAACUUGGAAGGAGGUUGUUUUCAGACCCUUCUGCUUCGGUGGGGUAACCCACCGGAACAACCUCAAAAAUAUUCUCAAUUCAAAACCGUUCAGUCCGAGAACUUUUUUGAAAAGCGAAAAAACUUUUAGCAACGGA
rnacentral:misc_RNA from 1 species